UUAGAUACCCUUUUAUACAAGCAUGAGAAAAAUUACUUGAUUAGUACCAGUAAUGGACUUGAAAAUUAAAAAAUUUGGCGGUACCAUAGUCUAGUUAGAGGAACCUGUUUAAUAAACGAUAAACCACGCAUAAUCUUACUUUCUUUUGUUAAUCAGCUUAUAUACCGCCAUCAUUAAAUAAUUCUUAGAGGAAAUUAUUAAAAUUUAACUUUUUUGAAGAAAAUUAGGUCAAGGUGUAGCUAAUAAGAAAGAAAUAAAUGGGUUACAUUUGAUAAAUCAAGUUAACACGAAUUUUUUUAAUGAAAAUAUAAUUGAAGGUGUAUUUAAAAGUAAUAAAAUUUUAAUAAGUUUUUAUGAAAAAGCUCUAUAGUAUGUACAUUCCGCCCCCGUCGCUA
rnacentral:rRNA from 1 species